CCCACACUGCCGUUUCUUCCAAACAACCAAAUCGAUGUUUCCGGCUUCUUGCAACGAAAUAGGGACAUCAUGUUUUGGGAGACCCUAGUUUGUUCAUGAGUUGGUUAUCAGCGAAAUUGAUUCUGGUGUUGAAGAUCUUCAAUGAUUCUGCCAGGCCAUCUUCAGAUCUUCAACUGCGUUUUAAGAGUUCGCAAUGACAACAGGUUCUCCUGAUCUAAUCUAUCGCGCAAUUAUGCUGUUUGGAUGAUAAUGAAGAUCGCAAGUUAUUUAGGAGUGACAUUUUCCUACUGGUUUGGGAUUUGAUUAUAAUGAAGCAAAAGAUGCUUGCUGAUGAACAAAUCGGGAGAUUAUGACUAAAAGUGAUUAUUAUCAAAGGGGAUUUGACUCAUAAAAUUAUUAUCAUUAAAUGUGAUUAUAUUAAUUAAUCUUUAAUACUUCAUUAUGUAAAUUAAGAAAAAAAAAUGCUAAAAUUGAUUAUCUCUUUAAAGCACAAAUGCUGUAAUUAAUUAUUUUA